UUAAGUUAUUAAGGGCGCACGGUGGAUGCCUUGGCACUAGAAGCCGAUGAAGGACGUUACUAACGACGAUAUGCUUUGGGGAGCUGUAAGUAAGCUUUGAUCCAGAGAUUUCCGAAUGGGGAAACCCAGCAUGAGUUAUGUCAUGUUAUCGAUAUGUGAAUACAUAGCAUAUCAGAAGGCACACCCGGAGAACUGAAACAUCUUAGUACCCGGAGGAAGAGAAAGAAAAUUCGAUUCCCUUAAUAGCGGCGAGCGAAACGGGAAGAGCCCAAACCAACAAGCUUGCUUGUUGGGGUUGUAGGACACUCUAUACGGAGUUACAAAGGACGACAUUAGACGAAUCAUCUGGAAAGAUGAAUCAAAGAAGGUAAUAAUCCUGUAGUCGAAAAUGUUGUCUCUCUUGAGUGGAUCCUGAGUACGACGGAGCACGUGAAAUUCCGUCGGAAUCUGGGAGGACCAUCUCCUAAGGCUAAAUACUCUCUAGUGACCGAUAGUGAACCAGUACCGUGAGGGAAAGGUGAAAAGCACCCCGGAAGGGGAGUGAAAUAGAACCUGAAACCGUGUGCUUACAAGUAGUCAGAGCCCGUUAAUGGGUGAUGGCGUGCCUUUUGUAGAAUGAACCGGCGAGUUACGAUUUGAUGCAAGGUUAAGCAGUAAAUGUGGAGCCGUAGCGAAAGCGAGUCUGAAUAGGGCGUUUAGUAUUUGGUCGUAGACCCGAAACCAGGUGAUCUACCCUUGGUCAGGUUGAAGUUCAGGUAACACUGAAUGGAGGACCGAACCGACUUACGUUGAAAAGUGAGCGGAUGAACUGAGGGUAGCGGAGAAAUUCCAAUCGAACCUGGAGAUAGCUGGUUCUCUCCGAAAUAGCUUUAGGGCUAGCCUCAAGUGAUGAUUAUUGGAGGUAGAGCACUGUUUGGACGAGGGGCCCCUCUCGGGUUACCGAAUUCAGACAAACUCCGAAUGCCAAUUAAUUUAACUUGGGAGUCAGAACAUGGGUGAUAAGGUCCGUGUUCGAAAGGGAAACAGCCCAGACCACCAGCUAAGGUCCCAAAAUAUAUGUUAAGUGGAAAAGGAUGUGGCGUUGCCCAGACAACUAGGAUGUUGGCUUAGAAGCAGCCAUCAUUUAAAGAGUGCGUAAUAGCUCACUAGUCGAGUGACACUGCGCCGAAAAUGUACCGGGGCUAAACAUAUUACCGAAGCUGUGGAUUGUCCUUUGGACAAUGGUAGGAGAGCGUUCUAAGGGCGUUGAAGCAUGAUCGUAAGGACAUGUGGAGCGCUUAGAAGUGAGA
rnacentral:rRNA from 1 species